GGGUUGUGAGGUUAAGCGACUAAGCGUACACGGUGGAUGCCCUGGCAGUCAGAGGCGAUGAAGGACGUGCUAAUCUGCGAUAAGCGUCGGUAAGGUGAUAUGAACCGUUAUAACCGGCGAUUUCCGAAUGGGGAAACCCAGUGUGAUUCGUCACACUAUCAUUAACUGAAUCCAUAGGUUAAUGAGGCGAACCGGGGGAACUGAAACAUCUAAGUACCCCGAGGAAAAGAAAUCAACCGAGAUUCCCCCAGUAGCGGCGAGCGAACGGGGAGCAGCCCAGAGCCUGAAUCAGUGUGUGUGUUAGUGGAAGCGUCUGGAAAGGCGUGCGAUACAGGGUGACAGCCCCGUACACAAAAAUGCACAUACUGUGAGCUCGAUGAGUAGGGCGGGACACGUGGUAUCCUGUCUGAAUAUGGGGGGACCAUCCUCCAAGGCUAAAUACUCCUGACUGACCGAUAGUGAACCAGUACCGUGAGGGAAAGGCGAAAAGAACCCCGGCGAGGGGAGUGAAAAAGAACCUGAAACCGUGUACGUACAAGCAGUGGGAGCACGCUUAGGCGUGUGACUGCGUACCUUUUGU
rnacentral:rRNA from 1 species